AGAGUUUGAUCAUGGCUCAGAUUGAACGCUGGCGGCAGGCCUAACACAUGCAAGUCGAGCGGUAACGCGGGGCAACCUGGCGACGAGCGGCGGACGGGGUGAGUAACGCGUAGGAAUCUACCUAGUAGUGGGGGGAUAGCCCGGGGAAACUCGGAUUAAUACCGCAUACGCCUUAAGGGGGAAAGCAGGGGAUCUUCGGACCUUGUGCUAUUAGAAGAGCCUGCGUUGGAUUAGCUAGUUGGUAGGGUAAAGGCCUACCAAGGCGGCGAUCCAUAGCUGGUCUGAGAGGAUGAUCAGCCACACUGGGACUGAGACACGGCCCAGACUCCUACGGGAGGCAGCAGUGGGGAAUAUUGGACAAUGGGGGCAACCCUGAUCCAGCCAUGCCGCGUGUGUGAAGAAGGCCUUCGGGUUGUAAAGCACUUUAAGUGGGGAGGAAGGGGUGAAAACUAAUACUUUUCAUCAUUGACGCUACCCACAGAAUAAGCACCGGCUAACUCUGUGCCAGCAGCCGCGGUAAUACAGAGGGUGCAAGCGUUAAUCGGAAUUACUGGGCGUAAAGCGCGCGUAGGCGGCUAAUUAAGUCGGGUGUGAAAGCCCCGGGCUCAACCUGGGAAUUGCAUCCGAUACUGAUUGGCUAGAGUAUGAGAGAGGGAGGUAGAAUUCCACGUGUAGCGGUGAAAUGCGUAGAUAUGUGGAGGAAUACCAGUGGCGAAGGCGGCCUCCUGGCUUAAUACUGACGCUGAGGUGCGAAAGCGUGGGGAUCAAACAGGAUUAGAUACCCUAGUAGUCC
rnacentral:rRNA from 1 species